rfam:Hordeum vulgare subsp. vulgare, WGS project CAJW01000000 data, contig: morex_contig_366787
GGGUCCAUAGCUCAGUGGUAGAGCAAUUGACUGCAGAUCAAUAGGGGCGUGUUUGGUUGGGUAGCUCGCACCUGGAUCGC